rnacentral:rRNA from 1 species
GACGAACGCUGGCGGCGUGCCUAACACAUGCAAGUCGAACGGGGUGUCGGAAGCUUGCUUCUGACACUUAGUGGCGAACGGGUGAGUAACGCGUGAGGAACCUGCCUUUCAGUGGGGGACAACAGUUGGAAACGACUGCUAAUACCGCAUAGCAUUGACUUUGGGCAUCCUUAGUCAAUUAAAGAAUUUCGGAAACGGAUAGGCUCGCGUGACAUUAGCUAGAUGGCGGGGUAACAGCCCACCAUGGCGACGAUGUCUAGGGGUUCUGAGAGGAAGGUCCCCCCANACUGGAACUGAGACACGGUCCAGACUCCUACGGGAGGCAGCAGUGAGGAAUAUGGUCAAUGGUCCUGACGACUGAACCAGCCAUGCCGCGUGAAGGUCACGGCCCUAUGGGUCUUAAACUUCUUUGUCAGGGAGCAAUAAGCCUCACGUGUGGGAUGAUGAGAGUACCUGACGAAUAAGCAUCGGCUAACUCCGUGCCAGCAGCCG